rnacentral:lncRNA from 1 species
UAAAAUUCUAGCGCGCACUUUGUGACGGAACAGUAAAAAACGAGAAGACAUUCCUGAUGCAAAGAAAGUAAACGAUUAAAAAAAAAAAAAGUAAAGUUAGCAAAUAAUCUUCAAAUGAGUUUUAAAUUUAGAACGAGUGGCACAAUUAAAGCUUAAAUACUUUUAGUGAAGAGAUUACUGAAGAGUAAGACGUAAUACGAAUAAGACUUAAUACAAUAAUUAAAAAGAACAUUACAUAAAAGCGAUAAUUAUGAUAAUGGAUGCAAAAAAAAUGAUGGUGGUCUUUUUUGUAUCUUUGCUAGUGUUUUCGGAAUUAUAUACUUUAUUAGCAGCAGUUCCAUCAAAGUGUAAAGGAGUUCGCUGGCGAAAAUGCUAUUCUAAAAAGAAUUCUGAAGAAACAAAGGUAGAAAUAAAAAACAAAAGGCGCAGUGUUGAUACAAUUUUAUCAGAUAUCGAGUCAAUGAACGAAAAUUGGGACGAUGAGAGUAACUCAACGAGUUAAAAUUUUCUUUAAAAGUAGUUCACAAAUAUUUUAAUUUUUAUUGUAAAUAAAACUUAUUUAAAUUAUUAACUGAAAGACUUUAUAGUAUUUUUUUUUAAUUUGUUUUUAAAUUAUACUGGAGGUUAAAUAUUUACGGUUGUCA